GUGCCAGCCGCCGCGGUAAUACGAAGGUCCCAAGCGUUAUCCGGAUUUAUUGGGUUUAAAGGGUGCGUAGGCGGGCUAUUAAGUCAGUGGUGAAAUCUCCAUGCCUAACAUGGAAACUGCCAUUGAUACUGAUGGUCUUGAGUACAUUUGAAGUGGGCGGAAUGUGUCAUGUAGUGGUGAAAUACUUAGAUAUGACACAGAACACCGAUUGCGUAGGCAGCUCACUAAACUGUAACUGACGCUGAGGCACGAAAGCGUGGGGAGCAAACAGGAUUAGAAACCCGCGUAGUCC
rnacentral:rRNA from 1 species